UAGAGAAUUUGGAAUGGUACCAGAAAUGCUAUUGAACGCGAGAUCAAAAGUGACUAGAUUUCGAAGUUGUCCUAUUUUAUCUGGUAUACGACCCCAAAGCUGUUGGCACUAAACGCCAAAUAAUCCAACUUAGGUGAAUUACAUUCACAGAAGUUAUUCAGAAGCUCUGAUACACUUCCAGUAAAAUUGUUAGAUCGAAGAUCUAAAUGUCUUAAGUUGCAAAGGUUCCCAACUGAGUUUGGCAGCGUCUCGUUGAUAAAAUUUUGUGACAAGUCGAUACUAACGAGAGAAGUCGUGUUCUGAAGAC
rnacentral:lncRNA from 1 species